rnacentral:misc_RNA from 1 species
AACGCAUAUUGCGCCCCCUGGUAUUCCGGGGGGCAUGCCUGUCCGAGCGUCAUUGCACCCCUCAAGCGUAGCUUGGUAUUGGGCCCUCGCCCCCGUGGCGUGCCCGAAAAAUAGUGGCGGUCCGGAGCGACUUUAAGCGUAGUAAAUAUCUCCCGCUCUAAAGCUCGCCCCGUGGCUGGCCAGUCAACCCCCAUUAUUUCAAUAAUUGACCUCGGAUCAGGUAGGGACACCCGCUGAACUUAA